GACGAACGCUGGCGGCGUGCUUAACACAUGCAAGUCGAACGGUAAGGCCCUUCGGGGUACACGAGUGGCGAACGGGUGAGUAACACGUGGGUGAUCUGCCCUGCACUUCGGGAUAAGCCUGGGAAACUGGGUCUAAUACGGGAGAGGACCACUGCCUGCAUGGGUGGUGGUGGAGAGCUGUUGCGGUGUGGGAUGGGAGCGCGGACUAUCAGCUGGUUGGUGGGGUGAUGGCCUACCAAGGCGACGACGGGUAGCCGGCCUGAGGGGGUGACCGGCCACACUGGGACUGAGAUACGGCCUAGACUCCUACGGGAGGCAGCAGUGGGGAAUAUUGCACAAUGGGCGCAAGCCGGAUGCAGCGACGCCGCGUGAGGGAUGACGGCCUUCGGGUUGUAAACCUCUUUCAGCACCGACGAAGCGCAAGUGACGGUAGGUGCAGAAGAAGGACCGGCCAACUACGUGCCAGCCGCCGCAGUAA
rnacentral:rRNA from 1 species